rnacentral:rRNA from 1 species
CCUACGGGGGCUGCAGCUAAGAAUCUUCCUCAAUGGGGGAAACCCUGAAGGAGCGACACUGCGUGCAGGAUGAAGGCCCUUUGGGUUGUAAACUGCUUUUGCAGGGGAGAAAUAACCGAAUGGGAUGAUAGUACUCUGCGAAUAAGUCCCGGCUAACUACGUGCCAGCAGCCGCGGUAAUACGUAAGGGGCGACAGUUGCUCGGAAUCACUGGGCGUAAAGGGCCGGUAGGUGGCUUUAUACGUCGGUUGUCAAAUACCUAUGCUCAACGUGGGAGAGGCGACCGAUACGGUAGAGCGUGAGUAGAGGAGGGGAUGAUGGAAUACCCGGUGUAGGGGUGAAAUCGGUUGAGAGCGGGUAGAACACCGAUGGCGAAAGCGAUCAUCUAGCCUCAUACUGACACUCAACGGCGAAAGCCAGGGGAGCGAACG